rnacentral:lncRNA from 1 species
GCUUACCCGCGCGCUCGGUGCGUGCUCGUUCCCCUUGCUCCGUGCACGGCUCUCGCUGCCCGCUCCGUGCACGCCGUGGGCCCGCGCUCUCUGCACGUGCUGCAGGCCUGCUCUCCCGGUGUGUGGCCUGCAUGCUCCACGCACGCUCUCUCCAUGUGCUCUGUGCGUGCCCUCUGCCCACGCUCCGUGCACGGUCUCCCCACAGGCUUCACGCACGCCCUCUUGCAUGCUCUGUGCAUGCUCUCUCCAAGCACUACGUGCACGCUCUCUCUGUAUGCUCUGUGCAUGCUCUCUCUCUUUGCAUGCAGUGUGCAUGCCCUCUUGCAUGCUCCGUGCAAGCUCCCCCAGCAUGCUCUGUGCAAGCUCUCUCCCAAUGCUCCAUGCAUGCCCUCUUGUGCGCUUCGUGCACACUCUCUUUGCCCGCUCUGGGCACGCUCUCUCUCUGCAAGCUCCAUGCGUGCUUUCUCUGCAUGCGCCAUGCACACUGUCUCUGCAUGCUCCGUGCAUGCCCUCUUGCAUACUCUGUGCACGCUCUCUCUGCAUGCUCUGUGCAUGCUUGCUCUGCAUCCUCCAUGCCUGUCCCUUGCAGACUGCCUGCAUGCUCAUGUUGCAUGCUUUGUGCACGCUUUCUUUUCAUGCUGGGUGCAUGCUGUCUCCAAACGCUCUAGGCAUGCCCUCUUGCGCGCUCCAUGCAGGCUCACUCUGCAUGCUCUGUGCCUGCUCUCUCUACGUGCUCCAUGCGUACUCUCUUGCAUGCUCUGGGCACACUUUCUCUGCAUGCUCUGCGCAAGGUCACUCUGCACACCCUGUGCACGCUCUCUCUGAAUGCUGCAUGCACGCUGCAUGCAUGCCCUGUGCACACUCUCUCUGUGUUCACCAUGCAUGCUCUCUUGCACGCUUUCUCUGCAUGCUCCAGGCAUGCUUUCUCUGCACGCUCCGCUCACACUCACUAUGCAGGCUGUGUGCCUGCUCUCUCUAUGUGCUCCAUGCCUGCUCUCUUGCAUGCUCCAGGCAUGGCUCCAGGCACACUUUCUCUGCACGCUCUGCGCACACUCACUCUGCACACUCUGUGCGUGCUCUCUCUGUGCACUCCAUGCCUGCUCUCUUGCACGCUCCGUGCAUGCUCCGGGCACACUUUCUCUGCACGCCCUGUGCAAAGACAGUCUGCAUGCUCUAUGCCCGCUCUCUCCACGUGCUCCAUGCAUGCUCUCUUGCACGCUCCAGGCAUGCUGCAGGCACACUUUCUCUGCACGCCCUGUGCACGCACACUCCGCAUGCUGCGUGCAUGCCCUCUCCGCACGCUCCGUGCACGCUCACUCUGCGUGCUCCCUGCCCGCUCUCUUGCACGCUCCAGGCACGCUCUCUCGGCCCGCCGCGUGCACACGAGCGCUCCCCAUGCCCCGCGCCCGCUCCCUCCGCGCGCCCCAGCCGCCC